rnacentral:lncRNA from 1 species
GGUUGCGGGAUCUUGACCCGCCCUCCCAGGGAUCCAGACCUUUCAAGAUCCGGUUGGGGUAAUACACGAAGGAGUUUCCAGGCUUCCUCGACAGCCAUGUAAACAGAAGCAUUAACACCACGAAAACAAAAAACGACGUCCCUAAAGACGUCAAGAAAGAUGUGAAAUCCAUCACUCGCUCAGAACAGAAUUAUUGUGAAAUGGGAAUUAUAAGGGCAAGGAAAGGAAAAGUAGCAGUGAAGAUGAGGGCAAUGAAAGCAGGUCACCGUUGAGGGAGGAAAUGGGGAAUGUAUUUAUGCUAGAGCAUUGAUUGGUGUGUGGUUCAAAUGCAAAAGAUGAGAGAAUACAAAAUGUCUGCCACAAGAAGAAGGCUUUCGAGCUGUUUGGUUCUGUGGGGUUUCGCGCUUUUGUUCAUGUUUAUUCGUCAUCAUCGUCGCAGUGCUUUCAUUUUCAGAGUCCUCGUAAGUAAAAUGAGUGUCUGUGUGUGAAAAGAAAGCGGGGACGGCAUCAACCGAGCGCGUUUCGAGUUUAAAUAAGCAAUUGAUUGUAAAAAAUAAUUGUGAAUCAUAAAAAUUAAAAAUAAAACAUUUAAGUAUGAAUUUUUAGUUAUAAUAGAAAUUACCUAUGAAAGAAAAACAAGUAAAUAAAAGUAAAUAAUUGGUGUAUAUUAGUAAUAUGAUGUUACCUAAAGGUUAGUCAAUGAAUCUAAAUGAAUUCUAUCAACUUUAAUAUUAAAUUACAUCAAAAAUUAGAAUAAUUACUUUGAAUUAUCAAAGAAAUAUGGAUUAAGGAAAAGAUUGUAAAUUUAAUAAUAAUAAAAAAUUAGCCCCUGCUUUAUACUUAAAAGGUUUUCGGCCAAUGGAUGGAAGAAAGUAGAAGCUUUCUUCUUCUCUUUUUAUUGCUUUUUAUUUCUCAUUGCUUAUGAAAAACUAGGUUUUAGGGUUUGAUACAUGGGACUAUGAGAGCUUAAACACUUGUAAAUACAAGAGAAUGAAGUGAGAGAAAAGUAGGGUUUAAAAAGAGAAAGUAAGGAAAUUACAGCAUUUUUAAAAAUGCCCUGUCCACGUCAACGUGAUCUUUUUAGAUAAUGUUUUCUGCAUCCUAGCUCUCAGCUUCAUAAUUUUCAACUAUGUUGACGUGUGUUUGUCUCCACUAUUUUGAUGCUUGAUGUGAUAGAAAUAAAAAUAAAUUAAGAAGUCAAAAAAUAUUAUUUUUAAUAUAUUUUUAAAUAAAAAAAUAUUUUUAAAAAUAAUCAUCAAUAUAAUAUUAAACAUAAACUAGAGGUGAUUAUUUUUUAUUCGGUUUAGUUUUUAUAUAAAAAAUAACCAAACCAAAGUUUUUUUAAAAAAAAUCAAAACCGGUUCAAACAGACUGGUUUCAGUUCCGUUUAGUUUUUUAAACAAAAAUUGGUUCAAAUCGAUUUCACUCGGUUUUUUUCGGUUUUGCCUCGGUUAUUUCCGGUUUGGCUUGAUUUUUUGGUUUUGCUCGGGUUUUUUCCGGUUUGGGUUCGGUUCGGUUUGGUUUUUUCGAUUUCAGACUUAUAAAACCAAAAUCAAACCGAACCGAAAAAAAACCGAGCCAUGAAUAAAAUAAUAAAUACUUUAGAUAUGAGGGGAAAAAUACAGUAACUAAACCAUGAAAAUGACCAACAUCAACAUAGUCUAUAUAUAUACCAGAUGCCAUGUCCGCGUGAUGUUGCGAGCUUAUAGCAUGCUUGUGCGUUGUUGUGCAUUUGUGAAAAAAAUCAUAAAAAAAUUUAAAAAACUAUAUGGAGAAAAAUUGUUGCAAUCCAUAAUAUUUUGAAGAAAAAAACUACAAAGUUAAAUUCUCAACUAACUUACUUUUUAAAAAAUAAAAUCGACAAAGAUAAUUCAGAAAAAAAUCAUAACAAAAAAAAACAAUGUAGGGAAACAUUAUAGCAAUCUGUAAUGUUUCAUGAGGAAAUCUAUAGUUUUAAUUCUUAACCAGCUCAAUAUUAAAAAAAAUAAAAUCGAUAAAGAUAAUUUAAAAAAAAUCUUAACAAAAAAAUCAUAUGAAGGAACACUGUAGCAAUCAACAGUGUUUUAAAAAAAAAAACUAAGAUGCUAAAUUCUCAACUAGCUUAAUAUGAAAAAAAAUAAAAUCAACAAAAGACAAUUAUGGAAAAAAAUCAUAAAAAAAGAAAAAAAAACCAUGUGUGAAAACACCGUAGUAAUCCAUAAUGUUUUAAAGAAAAAAACUAUAAAGCUAAAUUCUCAACUAGCUCAAUAUUAAAAAAAAAUCGACAAAGAUAAUUUUUUAAAAAAAAAACAUGCGGGAACACACUAUAGCAAAACAAAAACCAUGUCGGGAAAUAUUUUAGCAAUCCACAAUGGUUUUUUAAAAAAAUACAACACAAAAUUCUUAACUAGCUCAAUAUAUAAAAAAACUACCAAAUAUCAUUUUGAAAAAAAAAACAAAGAAAAAAAAUUCAUAAAAAGAAAAAAAAAUCAUGUGGUGAAACAUUAUAGCAAUCUAUAAUAUUUUAAAGAAAAAAACUUCAAAACUAAAUCCUCAAUCAAUUCAAUAUUAAAAAAAAAUCAAUAAAAUAACUUUGAAAAAAACACAAAAACAAAAAGAAUAAUAAUAAAAAAUGACCAUCUUUGGAAAAAAAGAAAAGAAAAAAAACAUUUAAAUCCCAAAAAAAAAAGGGAAAAAAUGAAAAAAAAUGGGGAAAUGCAUACAUACAUACAUACAUACAUACAUACAUAUAUAUAUAUAUAUAUAGUUUUUUAGAGUCAAAUAAUUCUAAAAGGUAAAAUCUUUGUCUUACAACCUCCUUUCCUAACUGAUUUAAAAAAAAAAAAAAAAGUCGAAGAGUUUUAUACUUUUGUUUUUGGAUCAUUAAAUGAACAUAAUUGUUGGAAUCACGCGAACUUAAUUAAAAAGGAAAGGGCAAGCAGAAAAUUUAUUUCUUUUAAAAUUCAAUCAAUCAUAAUUUUUUUAAAUAGUAAUUAUGACUUAGUAAUCCAAAGCUUGCUAGGUUAGAUCUCUUUUCAAAAUCAUACAAUUAUGGUAAAACUAGACACAUAUCCUCGCGUAGUGAAGUAUACAAUUUCAAUUAUUCAUAUAAAAUUAACUAUUUAGUAUUUGAUUAUAUUGUCAUAAUCUUGUGGUAUGUUAUCCCUUGUAUUGUUAUUAUUCUAUUUAAUAGUAAUAAAUCUUGUACCUAUACAAAAAUAUUUAACUAAUAUUUUUUAUAACAAAAUAUAAUUAUUUUUUAAAAUAUUUCUCAUUUUGUUAAAAUAAUAAUUUUUUUAAAAAUAUAUUUUUAACACUAAACACCAAAACAAUUCAAAAACGACCACAAAAAGUUAAAAUUUAAAGAAAUUUAAAACUACGUUACAAACUGAAACUUGGUUAAUAAUGCAUCUGCACAUGAUACAAUAACUAAACCAUGAAAAUGACCAACAUCACCACAGUCUAUAUAUAUAUAUAUAUAUAUAAAUUUAAUUAUUUAGUAAUUUGAUUACAUUAUCAUAACCUUUUGGUAUGUUGCCACAUUGUUAUUAUUCUAUGUACCUAUAAAAAAUAGAGUUUUUAUAAUUUUUAAAACAUUCCUUUGAUUAUUUUUUAAAAUAUUAUUUAAUUUAAAAUUUAUUAAAAUAUUAUUUAAAAAAUAAUUUUAAUAUCAACUCAUCAAAACAAUUCAAAAAUAAUAAAAACAAUAACAUUUAAAAGAAAUUUGAAACUACGUUACAAACAAACUGAAACUUGGUUAAUAAUGCAUCUGCACACAAUCAAAUACUUGUUGAAAUACAACGACCGCCUGAACGCGGGUUUCGGUUCAUCUUGAUGUUUUUUAAAGCAAUCUGCAACCUAGAAAGCUUCAACUCUCGAGUAAAAUACACGAAAUACACAAUAUGUUUACAAGUAAAUCCAUGACGUGAUCCACAAAUCUAACAAAUGGUCCAAGUUUUAGAAGCUAAAGGUACUACAGGACUUCAUCGAGCAACAAGAAGCUAGCUACCAACAGGGUAAUAUCAUGCAAACGAUCCGACUCUUGAAACUUGUGAUAAUGCAUCUUCGAAGUGGUCAUCAUCGGCCUUUUCAGAGCUCAAGCUUGGUGGGAUAAAAGACCUGUAGAUGCGUUCCAUGUCAGGAAUUUCCUUCAAUUCACGGCAAGCAACUUCGAGGGCUGUGUCGGCGAAAGAUCUAUAGAAUUUCUUCUGACAGACAAAGGCGAACAGCAAGGAAAGUAUCGGCAGUGGAAUUAGCAAGAGAGUACUGAAGGAGAAUUUCUUCACCCCAAAAUAACCGAACAUUGUAACUUGGUAUAGUAUCAGAGCAGCUAUGACUCUUGUAUGGAUGUGGGGCCACAUCCUGCCAUAGGUCUCAUAGGAUGGAGCAUAUACUUUGAGUGCCUGUUAAAUUUAACCACAUUUGCAAUUAAUAUUGAACAUGUUUAGCUGCAAAACUGGUCGCAUGUUUUGUGAAAAUACGAACUUCUAUUUGCCAAAACUUGCAGCACUUCAAAAUAAAAUGAAAAUAUCAAAGUGAACACAACAGAUAGAUCCGAAAUUCAGCAAAUGUUUGUCAUAGCAAUACACAAUACAUGUUGUUUUAGCUAGCUACAAAAUUUGAAGUGUUAACCCAUCAGAAUGAAUCCAAGCCAUCUCAUGCCAGCACAGGUUUGUGGAAAUAUUGAUUUCUAUUUGCCAGAAUUUGCAACAGUUCAAGGAAUAUGAACAUAGAAAGCACGCAAUGAAUUCUCCGAAAAAACACACACACACACACUGCUAGUCAAACAGAGUAACCAUUCCAAAAUUCAAACAAAACAUUCUAAGAUUUUUAUGAAUGGUGUGAGAUCCUUACCUGGUUCCUAAGGACAAGCCAUCCCAGGCCAAAGUACACCACUCCAAAUGGAAUAAUCAGAGGGGCUAUGACAGAGUAGCAAAGAACAAUUGUGAGAACAAGCAUGUCACCAGGAAUCCGGGUUGCAUAUCCGAAAUCUUUAGGAAACCAAGCUUCUUUUAACUCAGCUUCGGUCUUGCAUAGAUACUUCUUCUUUAGAUGAAAAAUGAUUAGAGGAACUAUACGAGACAGCUCGAGUCCAUAGCCAACGAAAAACCUGAGAGCCACAGAAUACUUAAAAGUCAAAAAAUGCAUUCCAAAAAGAAAAAUGAUUACCAGACCAAGUAUCUAGAUCAAAAUAAAUAGAAACAGAAAAGGCAAACACAUUAGCAUAAGAAACUCCUUUUCAUGUCCAAGUGGUUUAGCAGAGCACAAGAAGAUCUUGUAGCAAGGGGAGUUCUUUGACAGAAGAACGAAAUAAAACAGCUCUGGCUGUCGCGCAACAUCUUCUGGAGGGGUAGACGACUAAAACCAUAGCUUUCUAAAAGGAAAAGAAUUAUAAGUUAAUAUAGUGAGCUUACUUCAGAGCCACAAAAGUCAGGAAGAAAGUUGCAUUCCCCGGGAGGCUACUCGCAAGCAAACUAACAAUGGAGUUUGGUUUCGCCUCAAUGCUCUUGAACGUGCUGAAUAAGGUGCCACCCAGUGUCACUCCAAUAAAGACGUUCAGUAUGGUAAAAUAGAAAUAUUUUCCAGAAGUGGCCCUUACUGCAUGGCCCACUGAAGGAAUUCCCUCAGCCUUUGAGAGAGCCAAAAGUAACUUGGGCAACAGUGCCAAAAACACAAUGAGUGCAAUCUGAGGAAGGUACGCUUCCAGCACCGUCUUAACUGAGACAAUAUUCACAAUUGGCUUUAAAAAUGGGAGAAGUUUCUUCAGAUUAUCCAGGGUUGUUAAUGCGGAAAUGAACCCGAUUGGUAUCAUAUAAAACAAUAUGGUCAGAGCCACAAUAAAACAAACAACAUAAUGCCGGAUUAUCCUUUGAAAGACCUUAAUUUUAAGAUUAGACCAUAUUAUUUGACGUGGUUCAGGGGCUUCCAUGACAGUCCAGGUGUCAACCAUUUGGGCAUGUAGACUCUGGGCGGCAGAAGCUGCAGUCACCCUAUUGGUGAAGAAGGCAAAAGCACAAGGUUGUUGUUUCUCCCGGAGAGUGACUUUCUGUUCAGCUUCCAACUUUGGGAUUAGCUCUUUAAUCUUCUCAUUGUAGUGCUCUAUGCUAUCUACCUUUCUACCAACAAUACCAAGGGGGCCAGUUCUGAUGGUUGGUCUCAAUCCUUCUGGUUUGCCUGUUUUUUUGGAUUCAUUGUAUACAGCUUCUGCAUGUGCAUGCUUCUUCUUGUAUCCUUCCAACUCUUUAUAAAUCUUGUUAACCUAGAAGAGUUUUAGAAAAAGAGGAGGCUCAAAAUCAGCAGAGCUCAUACAGUAUGCAGCACAACACAGAAAAAGAGAACUCACAAUUGACAUUGGUCGAGGAUCAUAAAUUCCUUGAUAUGGAAUAAUAUAUACGAUAACCUCAAAUAUACUUGAUAUUGAAUCAUUAUAUUACUAGCACUAAAUUCCUUCUUUUUUCCCUUUUCUUUAUAAUAAAAUCUGAAAGCUCAAAGGAAUUGGAAACUAAAAAACGAGGGUUGGCUCAAAUUACAGAAGCAAUUUAGGAUGUGGAAUCCAGAACAUCAGGGUAAGUGGCAAGAGCAUGGAAAGGAAGAAACUAAUUUAAAAUUAAAAAAUACCUGUUUGUUGUUUGUCACCACCAUUGAUCUAUAGAAUGUCUCAGGAUAGAUGGAUUUAAAAUAUGAAUCAACCUGUUCCUUUCUAGUUUGGCCCUCAGGGACAUGAGGUAUGUCUCUGACAAGAACAGCGAAUUGCUCUGGUUUCAGUUCAGGAGACAUUAGAGCAUUUGCUCUCAUUCCAGAAACAUGCACGUACGCCUUCCAUAAGAAGAAAUAGGUAACAAGAGAAACCCAAUAGGUAGCAAUCAAGAAUGCCCACAGCCUUGGACUCCCCCCCUGCAGACAUAUUUUUCCAUGGAGCAAAACGAAAACGGGAGCAAGUCAGUUCAAGCAAAAAAAACAAAGAAAGAGGAGUUGUGGAGGUACCUUAACAUUUCCCAUUAAUAAGUUGUCAAUUUCACUAAAACUUAUGGAGGAGUUGCCUUUAGCUUUUUGUCUUUUCACAUUGUCGUCGGUGGCAGCUACAGGCAGAAGUACCGGCAGCAGAACAAGGCCAGACAAAACCAAUAUUGCCAGCGCUGUCAUAUAGAACAAAAAAAAAGUACAAAUAAACAACGUGAGGAGAGCAGUUGUCUGAGAAAUAAUACAUGGAAUGGAAGUGAGAGUUGUCCGAAAUCAUGAAGAAAUGUACACAGAUGGAUUUGCUUAAUCCUAUGAUGUAAGGUGCUUGUCAGUAAUUCAAGCACGACUAAUAAGAGUAGUCAUUGUCAAACCCAAUUAUUUUAGAUUUAUACUUUUUUUAGUUGCAUACCACCAUGUAAACAAACUUUGUUCUGAGCAAACUAAAGUAAAUGAAAAAGGAAAUCGGAAAACAGAGAAAAAUGAAAAGGUUACAGUAUCAAGUUUUGGAAGGCAACCAUCCCUUCGCCUCGAGAAAUUAAUUUAAGGGGAAGAAAGAACAGAACUACCACCAAAAAGGGACACAAUUAAAGACUCAAAGCAACAAAGAAACCCGUAAAAGGUAUGAUUCUAACAACCUGAUAAAUUAGUCACAACAUUACAAUCGAAGCGAUUCUUUGUAUUACAAGAGAGAGAGAGACUCGGGGAAAGAGAGAUUAAUUAAUCAAAUACCAGUGCUCAAGAAGACAAAGUAGACAGCAGCGUCUACACCGGACAUGUUUAUAACGUCCUGCUCGCUGGAAGACAUGGCUUCCCGGAUCCAAGCACAAGGGUUGCGGGAUCUUGACCCACCCUCCCAGGGAUCCAGACCUUUCAAGAUCCGGUUGGGGUAAUACACGAAGGAGUUUCCAGGCUUCCUCGACAGCCAUGUAAACAGAAGCAUUAACACUACGAAAAUAAAAAACGAGGUCCCUAAAGACGUCAAGAAAGAUGAGAAAUCCAUCACUCGCUCAGAACAGAAUUAUUGUGAAAUGGGAAUUAUAAGGGGGGAAGGAAAGGAAAAGUAGCAGUUAAGACGAGGGCAAUGAAAGCAAGUAACCGUUGAGGGAGGAAAUGU